GUGGUCCAAUAGUUGAGACAGACAGGAGCGACCUGUUCUAAACCCAUGUUGCCCUGGGUUGUGUAACUGAUGGGUUUCUAGAUGCGUGGUGAUCUUGCUUCUUAGGACCCUUUCAAAGAUUUUUAUGAUAUGGGAUGUUAGUGCUAUUGGUCUGUAGUUCUUUGCUGUUGCUUUACUGCCCCCUUUGUGGAGUGGGGCUAUGUCUGUUGUUUUUAGUAACUGUGGGACGACCCCCGUGUCCAUGCUCCCUCUCCAUAGGAUGGAAAAGUUGUAAAUUGUUUACCACUUUGAUAAACUCUUCAGAAUUAGAGAGAAAUUGUUACCUGUGACCAGUUACACAAAUUUGAUCAUCACUUUUGGGGUAAAUGCCAAGUUGACAAUAUUUUUAUUUUCAGCCACCAUACCUUCCGUACUGCAGCACAGUAUGUAAAGGAAGACAAACUGCCCAUUGACCCAUGAACAGCACUGCAGUUGAUGACCUCCUGUACCCAAACCCAAGUGAUCCCAAGACAAACACUUCAGUCUACUGCCUCCUGUACCUGAACCCAAGUGAUCCCAAGACCAACACCUCAGUCUACUACCUUCUGUGCUUCAAUACAGGCUUGCUAUGCCACUGCUUUAAGUUAUGCACUCGACUAAUCUGAGACUGGAUCCCAGAGAGAAGUAAAGUUGGAUCCCAUUAAUCUCAGCACCGUUAUAUUGUAAAAAAAAAAUGCAAGAGGCAGGACAAGGCACGUUUUCUCACAUUCAGUGGUCAUCUAAACGAAAAAGUAGUAACAGCCAUAUUAUCAAGCAGUACCGAAGAUCUGGAAACAGUUGUUGUGCACUUUAUAGGACUGUUGGUUUACCAUGGGUGUAGGACAGUCUGGUAGCCUAAAAACAAUUAGGCUGUGGUGUACACCAAAGAUUUUGUGGUGCACCUGUCUGGCUAUGCUUAUGCACAUUUACUAACCCUCGAGGAGUACCUGUUGUGUAAUUUUAAGCAAAAUUUAGAAUUCACCUAUGUCUUAAUUGUAAGAACAACUCAAGUUUACUUUUGAGAAUUUUUUUUUUCUUAAAACUUGUCAUUGGUGGCCUGGUGGUUAACGCUCUCGCUUCACACGGUGAGGGUCCGGGUUCGAUUCCCAGCCAGAGUAGAAACAUUGGACGUGUUUCUUUCCACCUGUUGUCUAUGUUCCCCAUCAGUAAAAUGGGUACCUGGGUGUUAGUCAACUGGUGUGGGUCGCAUCCUGGGACACUGACCUAAGGAGGCCUGGUCACAGACCGGGCCGCGGGGGCGUUGACCCCCGGAACUCUCUCCAGGUAUCUCCAGGUUGUCAUGGUGUGACUUGUCUGUUAGAUGAAUUAACUUUAAUGAAGAUGUAAAUACCCAGUAUGUAAAAGUGAAGCUUAAACCUAUAAAAGAUAUCUAUUAUUUAAAUUUUAGUUAUUUAUUGUAAGCAAUGUGUAUUUUUUUUUUUACACGUCUGUAGUUAUAUAAAUGAACUAAUAAAUAAGUUAACCAUGUCAGUUAUUUUUUUAGAAACCUUUCUUUUUUUACCUCAUGAAAAUUCCACUUGACCUAUAGCAUUAUAUUUUUAGCAAUAAAAAUCAAUUUUAUUAGUUUAGGGGUGUGUCAGCAUAUUGGUAUCUGGUAUCUACAAAAAUUUUGGUAUCGUCCCAUCCCUAAUAUUAAAAUCGCACCACAGGUCCUCCUUGAACAUCGUAAUAUACUGUUUGAGGCGUUAAUCAUAAUUUUCAUCGUGUUUAAUGCUACUUAACUCUAUUACCGGGUGUGGAAUAUUUUCUUGUUCAUUAAAAACGGUGGCAUUUGAGUGUGCACACUAACAGUGGAUAGUUUGAUAUGAAUUGCUCUGUAAAUGAUUGGCUACUGUUUUAAUUUUCUUGAAUACAGCCUUUUUUUUUUUAAUAUGGGUUAGACUUUUCAAAAUGUGGGAUGAAAUACUCGUUAUUUUUAGAGGCAUUUGUUAAACUAGUUUUGCCAAAUUGCAUUUUUAUUUCUAAAAGAUCAUAACACAGGGUUGGGACAAUGAAUACAAUGCAAUGUAAAUGUUAGGGAAAAAUAUCCUGCUAAUACACUUGAUGCAUAAAAUUUUAUGCCAAUAAAUUUUAAACAUUAGAAUAUUUAAAAUUUUGAGUUCAAUAGUAAUGAAAUUUACUUAAUCUACAAUAUUUGCAGUGUGUUUUAAAAGGCACUGCUUCACAAUUAUGCAAUAUCUCCAACUAGAAAGUCUCUAAAGAUUAAUACCUUAUUUUUUGUGCAGUUAUCAAGGUUCAUAGAACUGUUUGUACAGUGUGUGUAUACUGGCCUAGUGUGUUUGUGUACAUGUACGCUGAUGUUUGUAUUUAACUGUUAAUGUUGCCUACCUCUAUAAUGUUCAAGUUGACAUGAUUAGGUCUGGCAUCCUAUAUUACAAUUGAAUCUGUGUAUAUUACGAUCAAGCUCAUUCUGCUUUAUUACCCGUAAACUGUAAACAAAGUUUUCAAUGUCCUUCAUGACUAAUUUGGGUGUUCAGCUUGAACAUUUUCUUGUCCUGGACCUUCCCAUGUCAAACAGCCUGUCAGUGCCUCCCUUGGUUGUGUCCCAAUGUGUUUUAUAGUCCUAUUUUUUCCUUUAUAUGCAUUCCUCAAGUCAUGAGAUUGUUUAUAAAAUCUUUCCUUAUAGAUCUCACCUCUGUUGUGGUAUCAAUCUAGUGACCCAACACUGAACUUGUUCCACUGUGGUACCUCUCUAAAGCACCAUACUCAUAUUUACUACAAGCAUAUUUCACUCUCGCCAUCCUCAAAUUGAAGCUUAGUCUUGCUGCUCGUUUUCACUUUCAUCUUAAUUUUGUAAUGUUCUGGCCCAUCCCCUUUGAAUAGCAUUUGCCUUAAUACCAGAGUAUUUUGAGUUAUGAUUGUCCCCUUUUAUUUUAUAUUUCCAGCAUUUUAAGAUUCGACUCUCUAAACCUGUCCUUGCAAAUCUUGUCCAUAAUUUAAAGCGCUUGACCUUCUAGUCAAUUCCUUUUCUUUCUUGAGCUUUAUUUUAUGAAUCUGAGGAAGGAUGAACUCCAUGUGAGUGUUACCACCAUAAUUCUGACCUCGUGCAAGUUUGUGUGCAUCAUAUUGGAGUUUUUGCUGAGGUCUCUGAAGACUAUUCUUGUAUUAAUUCCAUUGAUAUUAUACUGUUUGUGGGUCUCUAGUAAUAGGUUAAUUGUUGUUGUUUUUUUUUCAUGCCUUGUCAACCAGUUUGGUACUAUUUUUCACCUCCCUAUUGUGGUCACAUUACACUUUUGAGGGUUGAAUGACCUUAGGUGGACAUUUCAUUAUACUGUACUUGCAAUCUGUCCAUGUCACUCAGUGUUGGCAGUCAUCCUCUGAAUGUUUUCUUUGCAUUAGCUUUACAUCAUAUAUACUGUAAGGAUAGACAUGACGUAAUCAAUUUAUCGUAGCCUUAUAGGCCGGUUUUCAGUCUGAUGGAGUACCCAAUCUUAUCUUAACCAAAUUUCUUUGUCCAUAAAUUUGUUGCCUGAGGCAUCUGAAGUAAGUGCUUCAUGAACAUGUCAACUUUUACCUGUGAGACACCAUACCAAACUCAAGGAAUUAGGGGAUAAGUGUGAGUAGAAUACACUACCCAUCCUUCCUCUUAUCAAUUUGUAAUUAACUAUUUGUCAUUGAAAGAGUAAUGGCAUGCUCUUCCUGUCCUGUUUUUUAAUCUUUCAGUGGUUGUGUAUACUAAGCUUCUUCCAGUUUACUACUAAAAUUUAAACAGUAUGUACUCUAUUAGAUGUGUUUGCCAGAAUUGAGCUUUAUCAGUCAACCUACUGUAUCAGUGUGUGCUGUGCAUGUGUACAGUAUUUACAAAUUGUAUGUAUUUGCUUUGGCAUAUGCGUACACGUAGACAGCCAUGAAUCUGUUGCCGAGGGAUUCAACAUCGUACUUGGAGAUUUGCCAUAUGGGUGAAAGAGGGAAGGGGUCAGCACUGUUAUUAAUGCUUUGUUUAUCCUGAUACAGGUUAAAUCAAGUAAUAACAGAUAGUACAUCAAAUGACAUUUGAAAUUCCCAGUCUGGCUCAAACUGCUGCCAAACUUCUCCAGUCCUCUCCAGCCACUAACUUGAAAAUUUGCAUAUUAACCCGUAAACGGUCCAAACGUGUGUGUGUGUAUAUAUAUAACGUUUUUACCGCUAGUGCCCCAAACAUAUAUAUAAAAGUUUUAUUUGUCAUACAUUCAACAUUGCCACGAUAAGCCUGAGUCGCCUAGACAUGAGAGAAUGGGUGUGCGCACUCACUGUGUGCCACAUUAAAAUAAUUGAGGAUGCCUGGGUACCAUAUGCUCUUUUCCUAUUAAAAAAAAAAACUUUUUCUCAAAAUUUGGGGCACUACGCGAGAGAACGUAUAUAUGCGUUUGGACCGUUUACGGGUUAAUGGAAGUACACUCGGGGAUACAUAGCAUUUGGUGAUACACCAAAAUGUAUUUCUUUUCUAAAGAAAAGUCCAAUCUAUUGGGAGUUAUCCCUUCUAAGGAGGUGCCUUGAUUGAAGUAGAUACAUACUGGUAUUUUUCCCAUCCUUGGAUUAAACUUGAUUUCUCAUUCUCAGGAGUAUGACCCUUAUGGAUUUUGCAUCCCUUGUCUUCAACCCUCAAACUGUCCAAACGUAGAUUUACGUUCACUCGCAUUGUGCUCCGAACGUAGAUCUACUUUUUUUUUUUU